UGUGGAUGAUGUCAUGUUCUUCCUGACUACUGUGAGGGCAAAAACUGAUUUAAUGAGUCUGAUGC
ensembl:snoRNA SNORD57 small nucleolar RNA SNORD57